GAGCGUGACUAGAAUGUGCUGGAAAGCACAGCCAUAGCGGGUGACAGCCCCGUAUAGGAAGCGUGAUGGGACGUAUUAAGUAGGGCGGGACACGUGAAAUCCUGUCUGAAGAUCGGAGGACCACCUUCGAAGGCUAAGUACUCCUUACUGACCGAUAGUGAACCAGUACCGUGAGGGAAAGGUGAAAAGCACCCCGACGAGGGGAGUGAAACAGUACCUGAAACCGAACGCCUACAAUCAGUCGGAGCCCCCUUGCGGGGUGACGGCGUACCUUUUGUAUAAUGGGUCAUCGACUUGGUCUCACGAGCAAG
rnacentral:rRNA from 1 species